GCCAUGGUGGCGAAACGGCAGACGCUCCAGCCUUAGGAGCUGGUGUCCGAAAGGACGUGUGGGUUCGACUCCCACCCAUGGCACCA
rnacentral:tRNA from 2 species